rnacentral:rRNA from 1 species
UACGUAGGGGGCAAGCGUUAUCCGGAUUCACUGGGCGUAAAGGGAGCGCAGGCGGCAUGGCAAGUCUGAUGUGAAAACCCGGGGCCCAACCCCGGGAGUGCAUUGGAAACUGCCAGGCCGGAGUGUCGGAGGGGUAAGCGGAAUUCCUAGUGUAGCGGUGAAAUGCGUAGAUAUUAGGAGGAACACCAGUGGCGAAGGCGGCUUACUGGACGACUACUGACGCUGAGGCUCGAAAGCGUGGGGAGCAAACAGG